rnacentral:tRNA from 1 species
GCCCAGAUGGCGAAAUUGGUAGACGCACUGUCUUCAGGCGGCAGCUCCGCAAGGUGUGCAGGUUCGAAUCCUGUUCUGGGCACCA